rnacentral:rRNA from 1 species
CAAUAGCGUAUAUUUAAGUUGUUGCAGUUAAAAAGCUCGUAGUUGGAUUUCGGGUGGGACGCAGCGGUCUCGCAUUGCGUUUGUACUGCUGCAGCCCUCCUUCUUGCCGGGGGCGGCCUCUCGGACUUCACUGUCUGGGGGUCAGAAUCGGCGAUGUUACUUUGAGUAAAUUAGAGUGUUCAAAGCAAGCUUACGCUCUGAAUAUAAUAGCAUGGGAUAACACGACAGGAAUCUGGCCUAUCGUGUUGGUCUAUAGGACCAGAGUAAUGAUUAAGAGGGACAGUCGGGGGCAUUCGUAUUCCGUUGUCAGAGGUGAAAUUCUUGGAUUUACGGAAGACGAACAUCUGCGAAAGCAUUUGCCAAGGAUGUUUUCAUUGA